AUGUACACCUCAUCAAUUCACAUCUAAUGCGAUGAGACAACGGAUAAAAUGUUGAAAAGUUUUACUUUUCUUUGAGGAUACAACAAGAAGGGUAUAUAUCUGAAAAGUUGUCUUUUUUUUUGCUGUUGGUGUAUCAUAAAAUAUAGAGAAGAAAGAAGACAAGAUAAGGGGGCACUAUUGCACGGUCGAUGAUCCUCCUGUGCCGAGAACAUCAGACGCACCAAGAUACUUGAGGAGAAGAAGAAAAAAAAAUAUAUAUAACCAAGGAAGAAGGAAACAUCGGAUGAACCCUUAAGAGUGUUGAUGUCAACCAAAAAAAAUUGAGAUACGGACGAGGUUCUACCGAGAUUUGAACUCGGAUCGCUGGAUUCAAAGUCCAGAGUGCUAACCAUUACACCAUAGAACCGCUGAUGAUCGACCGAAUUUUAAGAGGCUUUAAGAAGUCUGUUUUCUUUUAUGCAGUUUGAAAAUAAAACUUUGAGACUUUAAGGCUUUACCGGUGUCGGUACUGACCAAAAAAAUUAAGAAGCAGUCAAGGUUCUACCGAGAUUUGAACUCGGAUCGCUGGAUUCAAAGUCCAGAGUGCUAACCAUUACACCAUAGAACCGUUGAAUGUGUGUGUGACAGAUAAGUUGAAUCAUAUUGUUAUGCAUUCCCAUUCAUAAAGGUGUGCAUGGGAUAUCCCAGUGACCAGGGUGAAUUACGAGGCUGUGGACAGCGUGAUGCAUUGCUAGUGAACAUCGAAGGACCAGAUCCCAUGAGAAUCGAACAAAACUGGCUGGUGUUCUGUCCAAUUUCUAAUCUGAUUGCCGGAGUUUGGAUAUUUUGCAUCAAGUGCUUUAUUCAUUAUCAUUCAGCUGAAAUCCGGCCCGGAGAGAGGGACAAGGUGUGAAGCACGAUGAAGAAAAAAUGAUGUUGAUGAAGAAAAAUGAGAAAGUAGAAAAAAAAAAAAAAAAAUGAAUAAAUAAAAUGGACAACUGAAAAGGCUGAAUUACAAGCGCGGAAGCAUUUAGUUUCAUGAAUUCUUAUGAAACGAUUCAUCUUUUUUUUUUUUAUUUCUGCCAUGUGCAGAGUAAUAAAUCUAAAAACAAAAGUAUAUAGUUUCUUGGACACUUGUAAUGUAAA